rnacentral:rRNA from 1 species
GAUGAACGCUGGCGGCGUGCCUAAUACAUGCAAGUCGAGCGAACAGACGAGGAGCUUGCUCCUCUGACGUUAGCGGCGGACGGGUGAGUAACACGUGGAUAACCUACCUAUAAGACUGGGAUAACUUCGGGAAACCGGAGCUAAUACCGGAUAAUAUAUUGAACCGCAUGGUUCAAUAGUGAAAGACGGUUUUGCUGUCACUUAUAGAUGGAUCCGCGCCGCAUUAGCUAGUUGGUAAGGUAACGGCUUACCAAGGCAACGAUGCGUAGCCGACCUGAGAGGGUGAUCGGCCACACUGGAACUGAGACACGGUCCAGACUCCUACGGGAGGCAGCAGUAGGGAAUCUUCCGCAAUGGGCGAAAGCCUGACGGAGCAACGCCGCGUGAGUGAUGAAGGUCUUCGGAUCGUAAAACUCUGUUAUUAGGGGAGAACAAAUGUGUAAGUAACUAUGCACGUCUUGACGGUACCUAAUCAGAAAGCCACGGCUAACUACGUG